UUCUCUUUCUCUUUUUCUUUCUCUUUCUCUUCUCUUCCUCCCAGUCUUUUGUACUCUUCAAAGCACCAGAUGGCUGUAGGGGAGAGAGGGUGGGUG
rnacentral:ribozyme from 13 species